rnacentral:tRNA from 1 species
GCGCCUGUAGCUCAACUGGAUAGAGCAUUAGUCUUCGGAACUAAGGGUUGCUGGUUCGAGUCCAGCCAGGCGCG